CCUACGGGAGGCAGCAGUGGGGAAUUUUGGACAAUGGGCGAAAGCCUGAUCCAGCAAUGCCGCGUGAGUGAAGAGGGCCUUCGGGUUGUAAAGCUCUUUUGUCAGGGAAGAAACGGUGAGAGCUAAUAUCUCUUGCUAAUGACGGUACCUGAAGAAUAAGCACCGGCUAACUACGUGCCAGCAGCCGCGGUAAUACGUAGGGUGCAAGCGUUAAUCGGAAUUACUGGGCGUAAAGCGUGCGCAGGCGGUUUUGUAAGUCUGAUGUGAAAUCCCCGGGCUCAACCUGGGAAUUGCAUUGGAGACUGCAAGGCUAGAAUCUGGCAGAGGGGGGUAGAAUUCCACGUGUAGCAGUGAAAUGCGUAGAUAUGUGGAGGAACACCGAUGGCGAAGGCAGCCCCCUGGGUCAAGAUUGACGCUCAUGCACGAAAGCGUGGGGAGCAAACAGGAUUAGAUACCCUGGUAGUCCACGCCCUAAACGAUGUCUACUAGUUNUCGGGUCUUAAUUGACUUGGUAACGCAGCUAACGCGUGAAGUAGACCGCCUGGGGAGUACGGUCGCAAGNUUAAAACGCAAAGGAUUGACGNNGAGAGNGCGAGACGACGACGAGGGAGGAG
rnacentral:rRNA from 1 species